rnacentral:rRNA from 1 species
UACGGGGGGGGGCAAGCGUUGUUCGGAAUUACUGGGCGUAAAGGGCUUGUAGGUGGCCAACUAAGUCAGACGUGAAAUCCCUCAGCUUAACUGGGGAACUGCGUCUGAUACUGGAUGGCUUGAGAUUGGGAGAGGGACGCGGAAUUCCAGGUGUAGCGGUGAAAUGCGUAGAUAUCGGGAGGAACACCCGUAGCGAAGGCGGCACUCUGGGCCGUGACUGACGCUGAGGAGCGAAAGCGUGGGGAGCAAACAGG